GGGAACGCGUCUUAUGGUGCGCAGUCAAAGCCAUCUAGGAAGAAAUCCUUGAGCAUCGUCUACACUGGCGAUCACGACCCUCACACAAAAAUCCGUCAAUUUCUGAUAUAUAUUAUACAUAUCGAGUGCUGGAUAAAUGACGUUCACUUAGCCAAGAUCAAUGCAAUCCCACGGUACUUGAAGAGAGGGAGACUCUGCAGCCUCCCGACAUGUUCAAGCGCAAGGCGGCCAGCUAGCUCCCUUAGAUCAUCUCCGUUCAGCUCCAGUUCGCCGGCACCACCGUCCUCAUCUUUGAGACAGACCAUUCCGACCACACUCUGCUCCGUAUGUCCUAGCUUGAAGACGUAUUUAUUAACAUUGAAGCUGUAAUUGUUACUCCUAGGCUAUGGCUAUGUGUACUAUUUAGCUUUCUAAUUCAUUUUUUGUAAUUGAGUUAUUAUGUGCUCAGACGGCGAUAGGAGAUGUUAUUCGCAUAAUAGUAAAUUGAGGUAUGCAUCGAACGAAAGUGAUGAUGAUAAAGGGGUCUGGUCUCGGAAAAGAAGUGACUAAGAGCUAUUUGUAGAAGUGGUAUGGCGUCUUGAUGCAUUGUUUUUUUUUAAUUUCUAGCUCCUAGAAUUGUGUAUUUGAUGCAGCGGCAAGUGUAUUCUGCUACAUGUUUGAAACAUCAAAUGGUCUCCAUCUAGGUGCUGCUUGUCCAUCUAGAGGCAGCCUAUAUGUACUAUCAUUUUGGGGUUUUUAGUAACUUGUGUGUCUUCGAGCAAGCAUAUGUUCAAACCGAAAUAGGAAAUUCUGCUAAAAUAAUAAUAGGUUGCGGUAUGCACCGACUGAAAGUGAUGAUUAAAGGGGUCUAGUCUCAAAGACUCGAAAGAGAUGCAACUCAUACAAGUGGUGGUCUACGAUUAGGCUUUUCACGGAUGCUUGUAUAGCAUCUUCAAUUUUGCUGGACUACAAUGUUGACAUCGAAAGUAAUGCACCUUCAAUUUUGAACCAUUAAUGAUUCUUAGGUGUCCCAAACUAGGGUAUGUAACAUUUAGUUAUCUCGAAACUGUUGUAUCACAUUCUUCCAAUAUAAAUGCUGGUGCCCUCAGAUACACAGUCAUGAUUACAUUCUUCAACUGAAAGCAGUAACUGAAUUGCAAUGUAUAAUUAGAAGAGUGUUGUACAGAGAGGAAGAUUCCUACCCCCAGAAAGGUAUGGGAGAGCUAUGAAGAGCGUUGUACAGAGAGGAAGAUUCCUACCCCCAGAAAGGUAUGGGAGAGCUAUGUCCAGUUUUCUCAGAGGGACUGGUUUCCAUCUAUUUGAGAGCAAAAAUGUCAGCUUUUAGAUUAUUAUUCUAUCUUGCUGGUUCGAAAGAAUUGACUACUACCUGUUUUCGUAUACUCAGUAAACAGUGUUUUUAAGUUACAAAACUUUUGGACUCCGUACUGCAAUUUUCAUUCCUUUGGCCUCUUGCUCAUUGUUUUCCGUUUGUUAACCUCAAGGUAUCUCUUCCUCAACCUAAUCGCUUUUGGUGUAACCUCGAUAAGCUCAUCGGAAGCUACGUAACCUAUAGCUUCUUCAAGGGUCAUC
rnacentral:lncRNA from 1 species